GAGUGUGAGUGUGUCUCUGUGUGUGUAGGGGUCGAGGUGGGGGGGGGGUCCGUGUUUGCGAUCUGAACCUUUGGUACCUACAAGGAGGGUGUAUCACCGAACGGUAGCUAAAACCUCACCAGAACCGCGCGGAAGUGAGAAGUCGCGGCCAAAGGCGCCCGCAGAAGCCUCCUCUCUGGGCCGGACCCCAGCCCGAGCGGCCGAAAGGAGCCCCCCGCCCGGAUCACAGCUGCUGCAGCUGCCGCUGAAAUUCGCUGUGGCCGCUGCCUCUUCCCGCUUUAAUCCCAGACCUCCAGUCAUUGGGCAGCUCCUCAGAGGCAAGAAGUCAACACCAUGGCAACCCGACAAGCCUAUCAAAUCACCGGCUGGCGUGACAGCAGCAACACUGCAGGCAGGAGUGGGCUGGGCGGAAGAGCAGAGUGGCCACUGCGCUCAGAACUUUACAAGGAAAGGGGAAAUGUCUGAAAUGGAGAUUGUACAAUCCUGUCUUGAAGCAGAAGACUCAGCUAGAGCACAUCUGGAAACACCCGGCAUUCCUCAAUAUAAUUCAAAUGAUAUUUUAAAAGAGUCCAUUUCUAAGAAGAUGUGGUUCGAACAUACAGAGCUACAUAAUAUGAGUAAAAUAGGACCUAACGGUAGUGUUCUCCAGCAUUGCUCUGCCUUUCCUUUUCUGGAUGUAACAACAUUACUAAGAAAGGAAGAAAAAGCAAAAAUCUGCUCUCAGGUAGAUUCCAGCAUGAUGGAAAGCCCCAAAUGGAAGUCUCGGCUUUGGUUACAGGACAUAAGAUUUAAUAAACAAAAAGAUGCUCAUCUGGGAUGCUGCACCAAUUAUCAUGUACUAAAUAAGGUUACCUAUUUCACUCUCCAUGUAGAAAUGUCCAUCAUAAGCAUGUGCCACAGAAGGUCUCACAAGUAUCAUUAUUGGCUGUGUUGAAUUUUGUUUUUAGUUCUGUUUUAUAAGGUCUGUAGUCUUACUUUCAGUGAGGAAGUGUUUUCUCAGGUUCUCAAGAAAGUAACAAAAUGCCAGCAUUGUCAAGGUCACCAUUGCCACUGAAUUAUCUGACUGUCUGAUUAUUCCAUCUUCCUCUGCAUCAUAUUAGCCUGAUGACUACGUUCUAAUUAUUUAAAGCGUUAUGUAAAUCAAAGCAGUAAAUGUAAUUUCUAGUCUUACUAGAUAUCAUGUACAUUAGGUCGAAUAACUCUAGAAAUGUCGUCAUAAUCAUGUCAUGCCUAAUGAUGACCUACUCAGCCCCUGCCAACAUCAUUCAAUUACUCAUUUCAGCAUUGAUUUUUCUCAUGCCUCUCUUCAUGGCAUUUAAACAGCCCUCACAUCUCCCCUUUUACUGAGGUGUAAUGUUGUAUAAUGACAGAGAUGCUUUGCUUCUCAGAUUCACAAUGUUACACUCUGUUUCAAAUCCUUGUGGAGACAAAUUGGGGAAUCAAUAUAUAAAUAAUGACACACUUAUUUUUAAUUAAAAUCACUGCUUUCACAGAAAUGGUAUAUUAAAAUUAUUUUUGCUAAAAAAAUUUUAAAUACCUAUGCACAAUAAAAAGACUGCCAAUCCUUGGGAUCAAGAAUAUACUUUUCCCCAAAUAACUUUUCUAUAAAAGUAGAAUUCUUAAUGGAAAAUAGAUUAAUACAUAUAAUUUCAAGAUCUAACCUUAAAAAUGGAAAAAUGUGUCCAUUUUUAAAAAUAAAUCAUAUUUACAUA
rnacentral:antisense_RNA from 1 species